rnacentral:rRNA from 1 species
GACGAACGCUGGCGGCGUGCCUAAUACAUGCAAGUAGAACGCACAGUUUAUACCGUAGCUUGCUACACCAUAAACUGUGAGUUGCGAACGGGUGAGUAACGCGUAGGUAACCUGCCUGGUAGCGGGGGAUAACUAUUGGAAACGAUAGCUAAUACCGCAUAAUAUUGAUUAUUGCAUGAUAAUUGAUUGAAAGAUGCUAUUGCAUCACUACCAGAUGGACCUGCGUUGUAUUAGCUAGUAGGUGAGGUAACGGCUCACCUAGGCGACGAUACAUAGCCGACCUGAGAGGGUGAUCGGCCACACUGGGACUGAGACACGGCCCAGACUCCUACGGGAGGCAGCAGUAGGGAAUCUUCGGCAAUGGACGAAAGUCUGACCGAGCAACGCCGCGGGAGUGAAGAAGGUUUUCGGAUCGUAAAGCUCUGUUGUAAGAGAAGAACGGGUGUGAGAGUGGAAAGUUCACACUGUGACGGUAUCUUACCAGAAAGGGACGGCUAACUACGUG